rnacentral:rRNA from 1 species
AAAGCCUGGGGCUUAACCUCGGAUAGGCAGUGGAAACUGAGUAGCUAGAGUGCGGUAGGGGUAGAGGGAAUUCCCAGUGUAGCGGUGAAAUGCGUAGAUAUUGGGAAGAACACCAGUGGCGAAGGCGCUCUACUGGACCGCAACUGACGCUGAGGGACGAAAGCUAGGGGAGCGAAAGGGAUUAGAUACCCCUGUAGUCCUAGCUGUAAACGAUGGACACUAGGUGUUGGCCGUAUCGACCCGGUCAGUACCGAAGCUAACGCGUUAAGUGUCCCGCCUGGGGAGUACGCGCGCAAGUGUGAAACUCAAAGGAAUUGACGGGGGCCCGCACAAGCGGUGGAGGAUGUGGUUUAAUUCGAUGCAACGCGAAGAACCUUACCAGGGCUUGACAUCCCGCGAACCUUGCUGAAAGGCGAGGGUGCCUUCGGGAGCGCGGAGACAGGUGGUGCAUGGCUGUCGUCAGCUCGUGUCGUGAGAUGUUGGGUUAAGUCCCGCAACGAGCGCAACCCUUGUCCUUAGUUGCCAUCAUUAAGUUGGGCACUCUGAGGAGACUGCCGGGGACAACUCGGAGGAAGGUAGGGAUGACGUCAAGUCAUCAUGCCCCUUACGUCCUGGGCUACACACGUCCUACAAUGCUGCGGACAAAGGGCAGCCAGCCGGUGACGGCGAGCUAAUCCCAUAAACCGCGGCUCAGUUCAGAUUGCAGGCUGCAACUCGCCUGCAUGAAGGAGGAAUC